ACGCUGGCGGCGUGCCUAACACAUGCAAGCCAACUUGACUGAAGGAGCAAUCUGACAGUAGAGUGGCGCAAGGGUGCGUAACGCGUAAGUAACUUGCCCCAAGGUAAGGAAUAACGUCGAGAAAUCGGCGCUAAUACCUCAUAAUGCAGCGGAUCCGCAUGGAUAUGUUGUUAAAGGUUUACCGCCUUGGGAUAGGCUUGCGUCUGAUUAGCUAGUUGGUGUGGUAACGGCACACCAAGGCUACGAUCAGUAACUGGUCUGAGAGGAUGAUCAGCCACACUGGAACUGAGACACGGUCCAGACUCCUACGGGAGGCAGCAGUGAGGAAUAUUGGGCAAUGCUCGAAAGAGUGACCCAGCAACGCCGCGUGGAGGAUGAAGGUAUUCUAUAUCGUAAACUCCUGUGAGAGCAGACGAAAGACAGAUUAUUAAUCUGGAUGACUGUAUGCUCAGAGGAAGCCCCGGCUAACUACGUG
rnacentral:rRNA from 1 species